rnacentral:rRNA from 1 species
CCUACGGGUGGCAGCAGUGAGGAAUCUUGGUCAAUGGCCGGAAGUCUGAACCAGCCAAGCCGCGUGAAGGACGAAGGUGCCAAGCAUUGUAAACUUCUUUUGUCAAGGAACAAAAUCAGGCUCGAGAGCCUGACCGAGGGUACUUGAAGAAAAAGCAUCGGCUAACUCCGUGCCAGCAGCCGCGGUAAUACGGGGGAUGCGAGCGUUAGCCGGUUUUAUUGGGUUUAAAGGGUGCGUAGGCGGGCAGUUAAGUCAGCGGUAAAAGCCAGGGGCUCAACCCCGGAGAGCCGUUGAAACUGGCUGUCUUGAGUGGUCGAGAGGUAUGCGGAAUGCGCAGUGUAGCGGUGAAAUGCUUAGAUAUUGCGAAGAACUCCGAUUGCGAAGGCAGCAUACCGGCGGCGAUCUGACGCUGAGGCACGAAAGCGUGGGUAUCGAACAGGAUUAGAUACCCGGGUAGUC